AGAGGGAUUUCGAGCAAAGGAGAUUCUAUGGCCUUCCAAGCUGUCUACAAGUCCUAAACAGUACUCCAGAGUCUAGCCUUCGUGACUCUCUUCGUAGCCCGUGCUGAGAGCAAGCCACUUUCGCCAUGAUGGAGCUGCCUCUCAAUAUUCUGAUUCCUAGUCUUUGUGCUACAAGAACAAUUAUCACAUCUGGUGAGCCAUCUGGACAGUCAGCACUGAGGACAAGAGGUGUGCAGUGGCCUGGAGCUCUCAUGGAUCAGUCUUCAGUAUCCCAGCUCCCCUGAACUCCUGGCCUGGCUGCAAGAUUAUCCUGACUCUGGGCAAGAGCAUGAUACCUGAGAUGAAUCUCAGCAACAGCACAGUGUUUAUGGAACUUCAGAAACCAGAAACCUUGAAUCAGACCAACAACUCAUUGCAACAAACUCCAGGAACACAGAAGACAAUGGAAUGCAAUGAAUGGCCGAGCAGAAGUCAAGCUCCUUGGCUGACUCUACUAUGGAGAAACUCCAAAGGGAUGUAGCACAGGACAAAGCCUCAAGUUUAAGAACAAUAGUUUGAAGGAAAUUUGAGGACAUCUUCCAGGAGAAGGGAGUGAAUAUUACCUGACCUCAUAGGUUGGGAAUUGGAAGCAGUGCUGAAUUGUAGCAUCCUUCUUGGCUUGGUCUUGGAACCCUGAAUAGGGUCAUCAACAGGA